rnacentral:rRNA from 1 species
GACGAACGCUGGCGGCGUGCUUAACACAUGCAAGUCGAACGGAGUGGCGAACGGGUGAGUAACACGUGGGUGACCUGCCCUGCACUUCGGGAUAAGCCUGGGAAACUGGGUCUAAUACCGGAUAGUGUGGGAUGGGCCCGCGGCCUAUCAGCUUGUUGGUGGGGUAAUGGCCUAGCAAGGCGGCGACGGGUAGCCGGCCUGAGGGGGUGGACGGCCACAUAGGUACUGAGACACGGCACCGAGUGCUACUGGAGGCAUCAGUGGGGAAUAUUGCACCAUGAGCGGAAGCAUGAUGCAGCGAGGUCGCGUGGGGGAUGACGGCCUUCGGGUUGUAAACUCCUUUCACCAUCGACGCGGUAGAUGGAGAAGAAGCACCGGCUAACUACGUGCCAGCCGCCGCGGUAAUAC